UACGGAGGGUGCAAGCGUUAUCCGGAUUCACUGGGUUUAAAGGGUGCGUAGGAGGGUAGGUAAGUCAGUGGUGAAAUCUUCGAGCUUAACUCGGAAACUGCCGUUGAUACUAUCUAUCUUGAAUACCGUGGAGGUGAGCGGAAUAUGUCAUGUAGCGGUGAAAUGCUUAGAUAUGACAUAGAACACCGAUAGCGAAGGCAGCUUGCUACACAGUCAUUGACACUGAGGCACGAAAGCGUGGGGAGCAAACAGG
rnacentral:rRNA from 1 species